UACAGAGGGUGCGAGCGUUAAUCGGAAUUACUGGGCGUAAAGCGCGCGUAGGCGGCUUUGCAAGUCGGGUGUGAAAUCCCCAGGCUUAACCUGGGAACUGCAUUCGAGACUGCAUUGCUAGAGUAUGGGAGAGGGAAGUGGAAUUUCCGGUGUAGCGGUGAAAUGCGUAGAUAUAUGGAGGAACACCAGUGGCGAAGGCGACUUUCUGGUCUGUAACUGACACUGAGGCGCGAAAGCGUGGGGAGCAAACAGG
rnacentral:rRNA from 1 species